rnacentral:tRNA from 1 species
CGCUUCGUAGCUCAGCCAGGCAGAGCAGACGACCGAUAAUCGUCAGGUCAGUGGUUCAAAUCCACUCGAAGCGACCA